rnacentral:rRNA from 1 species
UGGGGAAUAUUGCACAAUGGGCGCAAGCCUGAUGCAGCCAUGCCGCGUGUAUGAAGAAGGCCUUCGGGUUGUAAAGUACUUUCAGCGGGGAGGAAGGCGAUAAGGUUAAUAACCUUGUCGAUUGACGUUACCCGCAGAAGAAGCACCGGCUAACUCCGUGCCAGCAGCCGCGGUAAUACGGAGGGUGCAAGCGUUAAUCAGAAUUACUGGGCGUAAAGCGCACGCAGGCGGUCUGUCAAGUCGGAUGUGAAAUCCCCGGGCUCAACCUGGGAACUGCAUUCGAAACUGGCAGGCUAGAGUCUUGUAGAGGGGGGUAGAAUUCCAGGUGUAGCGGUGAAAUGCGUAGAGAUCUGGAGGAAUACCGGUGGCGAAGGCGGCCCCCUGGACAAAGACUGACGCUCAGGUGCGAAAGCGUGGGGAGCAAACA